AGAGCCCGGAGUGGAGGAGGGAGAACGCGAAAGCGCCGACUAAGAUCUUUUGCUAGUAUAAAAGAGAAAGAAAAGAACUGAGCACACGCACACCCUAGAACUUCAAAUGAUCUUCCAGAGAAACGCAAUUACCUGCGGCUGCCGCCUACGUGGCAUUCACCGUCAGAGAAGCAUCGGGGUGGUCGAUGGGGAGGCGGGCGAAGCGAUGGGUGAAGAGAAAUCGCGGAGGGUUCGAUCUCCAAAACAUUGGCGAAAGAGCCUGAAGGCAAGCAGCGGUGGCGGCGUGUCGAGAGAGGAAACGCAUCUCUGCAUCUCCCGCGGAACGGGUCCGGAAUAGCAGGCGACUUGCUGGAGAGAAGUUGGCAGUAAAAUUUCAUUUGGAAGGAACAAAAAAGGAAGGCCUUUGCAAAUCUGUUGCUAGAUGUGGAAGGCAAAUAGGCGUAACUAAAUAAAUGGUUCUCCAAAAUA